AUUGAACGCUGGCGGCAUGCCUUACACAUGCAAGUCGAACGGUAACGGGCCUUCGGGUGCCGACGAGUGGCGAACGGGUGAGUAAUGUAUCGGAACGUACCUUUCAGUGGGGGAUAACGUAGCGAAAGUUACGCUAAUACCGCAUAUUCUGUGAGCAGGAAAGCAGGGGAUCGCAAGACCUUGCGCUGAUUGAGCGGCCGAUAUCAGAUUAGCUAGUUGGUGAGGUAAAGGCUCACCAAGGCGACGAUCUGUAGCGGGUCUGAGAGGAUGAUCCGCCACACUGGAACCGAGACACGGUCCAGACUCCUACGGGAGGCAGCAGUGGGGAAUGUUGGACAAUGGGGGCAACCCUGAUCCAGCCAUGCCGCGUGAGUGAAGAAGGCCUUCGGGUUGUAAAGCUCUGUCGGCCGGGAAGAAAUCGUAUCAGCUAAUACCUGGUGCGGAUGACGGUACCGGCAUAAGAAGCACCGGCUAACUACGUGCCAGCAGCCGCGGUAAAAC
rnacentral:rRNA from 1 species